rnacentral:rRNA from 1 species
GAAGAAGGCCUUCGGGUUGUAAAGCACUUUCAGCGAGGAGGAAGGGAUGUAUGUUAAUAGCAUGCAUUUUUGACGUUACUCGCAGAAGAAGCACCGGCUAACUCUGUGCCAGCAGCCGCGGUAAUACAGAGGGUGCAAGCGUUAAUCGGAAUUACUGGGCGUAAAGCGCACGUAGGCGGUUAGUUAAGUUGGAUGUGAAAGCCCCGGGCUCAACCUGGGAAUUGCAUUCAAAACUGGCUAACUAGAGUAUGUGAGAGGGGGGCAGAAUUCCAAGUGUAGCGGUGAAAUGCGUAGAGAUUUGGAGGAAUACCAGUGGCGAAGGCGGCCCCCUGGCACAAUACUGACGCUGAGGUGAGAAAGCGUGGGGAGCAAACAGGAUUAGAUACCCUGGUAGUCCACGCCGUAAACGAUGUCUACUAGCUGUUCGUGGUCUUGUACUGUGAGUAGCGCAGCUAACGCACUAAGUAGACCGCCUGGGGAGUACGGUCGCAAGAUUA